GGAGAGGUGGCAGAGUGGUCGAACGUACCGCACUCGAAAUGCGGCGUACCCGCGAGGGUACCGUGGGUUCGAAUCCCACCCUCUCCGCCA
rnacentral:tRNA from 25 species